UACGGAGGAUGCGAGCGUUAUCCGGAUUUAUUGGGUUUAAAGGGUGCGUAGGCGGACUGUCAAGUCAGCGGUAACAUUGAGAGGCUCAACCUCUUCCCGCCGUUGAAACUGGUGGUCUUGAGUGGAUGAGAAGUACGCGGAAUGCGUGGUGUAGCGGUGAAAUGCAUAGAUAUCACGCAGAACUCCGAUUGCGAAGGCAGCGUACCGGCAUCCAACUGACGCUGAGGCACGAAAGCGUGGGGAUCAAACAGG
rnacentral:rRNA from 1 species